UUAGGAAUAUUGGGCAAUGGAGGAAACUCUGACCCAGCAACGCCGCGUGAAGGAAGAAGGUUUUCGGAUUGUAAACUUCUGAUCUGUGGGAAAAAGAGAACGAUGGUACCACAGGAGAAAGCCACGGCUAACUACGUGCCAGCAGCCGCGGUAAUACGUAGGUGGCGAGCGUUGUCCGGAAUAACUGGGCGUAAAGGGAGCGUAGGUGGUUGUUUAAGUUAAAUGUGAAAUCCCGUGGCUUAACUACGGAACUGCAUUUAAUACUGGAUGACUAGAGUACAGGAGGGGUAAGCGGAAUUCCUAGUGUAGCGGUGGAAUGCGUAGAUA
rnacentral:rRNA from 1 species